GUGCACUUGGCGUUGCAAGUGUAGCACGUCAUUCAGCGGGAACAGGCCAGUCUCGCACGGAACAUACAUAACAACGCGCGGAAUAUGGCGACAUUGAGGUCCGACAUUUGAUAACAUUAUUCCCUGACUGACUCCAAUACAACUCCUGUCGUGGACCUAAAGACGUCAUGGUAUCAUCAACGAUGUUCCACCCUUGUGUGACCAUAAUUUCACUGGUUUUCGUCGUUUUAAACAAAGGCCUGGCCCUCGAUAUCGUUGGUAAGCCAGCAAAUCAGAGCACAACUUACAAUGAAGCUGGGAGAGCAGGCAAUGCAGUAGACGGAGAUGAUUCCACGAUUUCCCACACAAAGUGUGAUGGCUUUGGAGACCAUUGGUGGAAGGUUGAUCUCCAGGCGAUCUACUGCUUGACAAAAAUCACUGUAGUCAACAGGGGAGAUUGCUGUGGUGAGAUUGUCAGAAAUUUUCCUUUU